rnacentral:rRNA from 1 species
CACGCCGUAAACGGUGGGCACUAGGUGUGGGACUCAUUCCACGAGUUCCGUGCCGUAGCUAACGCAUUAAGUGCCCCGCCUGGGGAGUACGGCCGCAAGGCUAAAACUCAAAGGAAUUGACGGGGGCCCGCACAAGCGGCGGAGCAUGCGGAUUAAUUCGAUGCAACGCGAAGAACCUUACCUGGGUUUGACAUAUGCCGGAAAGCUGCAGAGAUGUAGCCCCCGCAAGGUCGGUAUACAGGUGG